rnacentral:rRNA from 1 species
GGAGGGGGCGAGCGUUAUUCGGAAUUAUUGGGCGUAAAGGGCGCGUAGGCGGCGCGAUAAGUCAAAGGUGAAAUCCCUCGGCUCAACUGAGGAACUGCCUUUGAGACUGUCGAGCUUGAGGCCGGGAGGGGGUAGCGGAAUUCCCAGUGUAGCGGUGAAAUGCGUAGAUAUUGGGAGGAACACCAGUGGCGAAGGCGGCUACCUGGACCGGUUCUGACGCUGAUGCGCGAAAGCGUGGGUAGCAAACAGGAUUAGAUACCCUGGUAGUCCACGCUGUAAACGAUGGGUGCUCGGUGUCGCGGGUAUCGACCCCUGCGGUGCCUUAGCUAACGCGUUAAGCACCCCGCCUGGGGAGUACGGUCGCAAGGCUG